rnacentral:rRNA from 1 species
UACAGAGGGUGCGAGCGUUAAUCGGAGUUACUGGGCGUAAAGAGCGUGUAGGCGGCCAGGUAGGUCUGCUGUGAAAACUCGAGGCUCAACCUCGAGACGUCGGCGGAAACCAUCUGGCUAGAGUCCGGAAGAGGAGAGUGGAAUUCCUGGUGUAGCGGUGAAAUGCGCAGAUAUCAGGAAGAACACCCGUGGCGAAGGCGGCUCUCUGGGACGGUACUGACGCUGAGACGCGAAAGCGUGGGGAGCGAACAGG